rnacentral:rRNA from 1 species
CCUAGGGAGGCAGCAGUGAGGAAUAUUGCGCAAUGGGGGAAACCCUGACGCAGCAACGCCGCGUGGGUGAAGAAGGCCCUCGGGUUGUAAAGCCCUGUCAAGUGGGAAGAACCUUCUGAAGACGAAUAAUCUUCGGGACUGACGGUACCACUGGAGGAAGCACCGGCUAACUCCGUGCCCGCAGCCGCGGUAAGACGGAGGGUGCUAGAGUUGUUCGGAAUCACUGGGCGUAAAGCGCGUGUAGGCGGUUCGAUAAGUCGGAUGUGAAAGCCGGAAGCUCAACUUCGGAAGUGCAUCCGAAACGGUCGGGCUGGAGGACGGUAGAGGGAAGCGGAAUUCCUGGUGUAGAGGUGAAAUUCGUAGAUAUCAGGAGGAACACCGGUGGCGAAGGCGGCUUCCUGGACCGAUACUGACGCUGAGACGCGAAAGCGUGGGGAGCAAACA